rnacentral:rRNA from 1 species
AUACGUAGGGGGCGAGCGUUGUCCGGAAUUACUGGGCGUAAAGGGUGCGUAGGCGGCCCUUUAAGUCGGAUGUGAAAGCCCGCGGCUUAACCGCGGAAUGGCAUUCGAAACUGGAGGGCUUGAGUGUCGGAGAGGGUAGUGGAAUUCCCAGUGUAGCGGUGAAAUGCGUAGAUAUUGGGAGGAACACCAGUGGCGAAGGCGACUACCUGGACGAUAACUGACGCUGAGGCACGAAAGCUAGGGGAGCAAACAGGAUUAGAUACCCUGGUAGUCCUAGCCGUAAACGAUGGGUACUAGGUGUGGGUGGUUUCGAUACCAUCCGUGCCGUAGUUAACGCAUUAAGUACCCCGCCUGGGGAGUACGGGCGCAAGCAUGAA